UACGUAGGUGGCAAGCGUUGUCCGGAUUUACUGGGCGUAAAGAGCGCGCAGGCGGUUGGAUAAGUCGAAUGUGAAAGCCCCCGGCUCAACUGGGGAGGGUCAUUCGAUACUGUCCGACUCGAAGGCAGGAGAGGGAAGCGGAAUUCCCGGUGUAGUGGUGAAAUUCGUAGAUAUUUGGAGGAAUACCGGCGGCGAAGGCGGCCUUCUGGGCCAUUCUUGACACUGAGACGCGAAAGCGUGGGGAGCAAACAGG
rnacentral:rRNA from 1 species